rnacentral:rRNA from 1 species
UACAGAGGUGGCAAGCGUUGUUCGGAAUUACUGGGCGUAAAGGGCGCGUAGGUGGCCUUUUGAGUCAGACGUGAAAUCCCCCGGCUUAACCUGGGAACUGCGUCUGAUACUGGAAGGCUUGAGUUCGGGAGAGGGAUGUGGAAUUCCAGGUGUAGCGGUGAAAUGCGUAGAUAUCUGGAGGAACACCUGAGGCGAAGGCGGGCUACUGGGCUGAUACUGACGCUGAGGCGCGAAAGCUAGGGGAGCAAACAGG